ACCCAAGUAGCUCAGUCGGCAGAGCAGGAGACGCUUCGUCUUAGGGUCGUGGGUUCGAAUCCCGCGUUGGGCA